CCAGAAAUUGAGAGAGAUAUCCGAGUUCAAAAGAGCAUACUCCGUGCAGUAGGCCAGGUAAGUGGAUUGACCCUCCUAAGGCGGCUGACAACGAAUGGGGCAUCUGAUGAACUUGAUUAUUUUUAUCUGGGCAUCUGAUGCAGUUGAUUAUGUUGUUCUGUUCACAUGCUACUCUCAUCUAGGAGCUUCUAUUCCAGCAUGCCUCAUUAUUUUGCUAUAGCUAUUCCAACACCUGCUUGCUUUAGAAAUGUUGUUUCUUACUAUCUGGCUGCUUUCUGAAAUUAAAAAUUUUCCAUUUUCCAAAUUGAUCCUAAUGCUGUUCAAAAAGAAUCAGGAUUUCUCUUUUCCUUUCUUUUUCAAGAUAAUCUUCUGGCUGCGAUUUGAUAAAGUAAAGAAUGUAAUGUCUCAAAAUAUAAGCAUCUAAGUUUGGGAAUUCACCAAACUUCAUGAGUUUACUUGGUUCUUACCUCUGAUAUUCUACUUUGCUUCAAUU
rnacentral:lncRNA from 1 species